rnacentral:rRNA from 1 species
GGGCCCGCACAAGCGGUGGAGUAUGUGGUUUAAUUCGAUGCAACGCGAAGAACCUUACCAGGGUUUGACAUCCUGCGAAUCUCUUGGAAACAGGAGAGUGCCUUCGGGAACGCAGUGACAGGUGGUGCAUGGCUGUCGUCAGCUCGUGUCGUGAGAUGUCGGGUUAAGUCCCUUAACGAGCGAAACCCUUAUCUCUAGUUGCCAGCAUUUAGUUGGGCACUCUAGAGAGACCGCCGGUGAUAAACCGGAGGAAGGUGUGGAUGACGUCAAGUCAUCAUGCCCCUUACAUCCUGGGCUACACACGUACUACAAUGCUACGGACAAAGAGCAGCAAGUUCGCGAGGACAAGCAAAUCUCAUAAACCGUGGCUCAGUUCAGAUCGUAGGCUGCAACUCGCCUACGUGAAGGAGGAAUCGCUAGUAAUCGC